rnacentral:rRNA from 1 species
UGGGGAAUUUUGCACAAUGGGGGAAACCCUGAUGCAGCGACGCCGCGUGAUUUAGAAGGCCUUCGGGUUGUAAAAAUCUUUUCUAUGGGAAGAAAAUGACAGUACCAUAGGAAUAAGGACCGGCUAAUUACGUGCCAGCAGCCGCGGUAAUACGUAAGGUCCGAGCGUUGUCCGGAAUCAUUGGGCGUAAAGGGUACGUAGGCGGGUAAGCAAGUUAGAAGUGAAAUCCUAUAGCUCAACUAUAGUAAGCUUUUAAAACUGCUCAUCUUGAGGUAUGGAAGGGAAAGUAGAAUUCCUAGUGUAGCGGUGAAAUGCGCAGAUAUUAGGAGGAAUACCGGUGGCGAAGGCGACUUUCUGGCCAUAACCUGACGCAGAGGUACGAAAGCGUGGGUAGCAAACAGG